rnacentral:rRNA from 1 species
UACGGAGGAUGCGAGCGUUAUCCGGAUUUAUUGGGUUUAAAGGGUGCGUAGGCGGAAUGGUAAGUCAGUGGUGAAAUCCUGCAGCUCAACUGUAGAGUUGCCAUUGAUACUGUCAUUCUUGAGUAUAGAUGAGGUAGGCGGAAUGAGUAGUGUAGCGGUGAAAUGCAUAGAUAUUACUCAGAACACCAAUUGCGAAGGCAGCUUACUAAACUAUAACUGACGCUGAAGCACGAAAGCGUGGGUAUCAAACAGGAUUAGAUACCCUGGUAGUCCACGCCGUAAACGAUGAUUACUGGUUGUUUGCGAUAGACAGCAAGCGACUGAGCGAAAGCAUUAAGUAAUCCACCUGGGGAGUACGUCGGCAACGAUGAA